rnacentral:tRNA from 1 species
GCCUCGUUGGCCAGUAGGCAGCGCGUCAGUCUCAUAAUCUGAAGGCCGUGAGUUUGACCCUCACACGGGGCA